UACGUAGGGUGCAAGCGUUUAAUCGGAAUUACUGGGCGUAAAGCGUGCGCAGGCGGUUUUGUAAGUCUGUCGUGAAAGCCCCGGGCUCAACCUGGGAAUUGCGAUGGAGACUGCAAGGCUUGAAUCUGGCAGAGGGGGGUAGAAUUCCACGUGUAGCAGUGAAAUGCGUAGAGAUGUGGAGGAACACCGAUGGCGAAGGCAGCCCCCUGGGUCAAGAUUGACGCUCAUGCACGAAAGCGUGGGGAGCAAACAGA
rnacentral:rRNA from 1 species